rnacentral:rRNA from 1 species
GACGAACGCUGGCGGCGUGCUUAACACAUGCAAGUCGAACGGAAAGGCCCUUCUUUGUUCUCGAGCUGCGAACGGGUAAGUAACACGUGAGUAACCUUCCCCAGACUUUGAGCUAACCCUCGGUAACGGAGGCUAAUACCAAUUACGACACAGCGUCGCAGCUGGUCUGUGUGGGUUGGUUGUCGGUUUGGGAUGGGCUCGCGGCCUAUCAGCUUGUUGGUGGGGUUAUGGCCUACCAAGGCGACGACGGGUAGCCGGCCUGAGAGGGCGACCGGCCACACUGGGACUGAGAUACGGCCCAGACUCCUACGGGAGGCAGCAGUGGGGAAUAUUGCACAAUGGGCGGAAGCCUGAUGCAGCGACGCCGCGUGCGGGAUGACGGCCUUCGGGUUGUAAACCUCUUUCAGCUGUGACGAAGCGUAAGUGACGGUAACUGCAGAAGAAGCGCCGGCUAACUACGUG